rnacentral:rRNA from 1 species
UGCAAAAUUAUCGGAUGAGUUGUGGAUAGGAGUGAAAGGCUAAUCAAGCCUGGAGAUAGCUGGUUCUCCCCGAAAACUAUUUAGGUAGUGCCUCAUGUAUUACUCUCGGGGGUAGAGCACUGUUUUGGCUAGGGGGACAUCCCGUCUUACCAACCCGAUGCAAACUCCGAAUACCGAGAAGUACAAUCAUGGGAGACACACAGCGGGUGCUAACGUCCGUUGUGGAAAGGGAAACAACCCAGAUCGCCAACUAAGGUCCCAAAAUUACAGCUAAGUGGGAAACGAAGUGAGAAGUCAAAGACAGCCAGGAGGUUGGCUUAGAAGCAGCCAUCCUUUAAAGAAAGCGUAAUAGCUCACUGGUCAAGCCGACUUGCGCGGAAGAUUUAACGGGGCUUAAGCUGUAUACCGAAGUUGCGAAUGCUUAUUUUUUAAUAAGCGUGGUAGGGGAGCGUUCUGUAAGUCAAUGAAGGCAUAUUGUGAGAUAUGCUGGAGAUAUCAGAAGUGAGAAUGCUGACAUGAGUAACGAUAAUGCGGGUGAAAAACCCGCACGCCGAAAACCCAAGGGUUCCUGCGCAACGUUAAUCGACGCAGGGUUAGUCGGUACCUAAGGCGAGACCGAAAGGUGUAGUCGAUGGACAACAGGUUAAUAUUCCUGUACCGCAAUUACUGCGAUGGGGGGACGGAGAAGGCUAAGCAUACCGGGUGUUGGUUAUCCCGGGAAAAGUAUGUAGGUAGAGAACUUUGGAAAAUCCGGGUUCUUAUUACUGAGAUACGAGACCAUUGAUUUUUUAAUCAAGAAGUAGCUGAUGCCAUGCUUCCAAGAAAAGCCUCUAAGCUUCAGGUAUUACGUGACCGUACCCCAAACCGACACAGGUGGGUGGGAUGAGAAUUCUAAGGCGCUUGAGAAAACUCUGGUGAAGGAACUAGGCAAAUUGGUACCGUAACUUCGGGAGAAGGUACGCCUUUGUCGGUGAUGGAACUUGCUUCCUAAGCUGAUGAAGGUCUCAGAAACCAGGUGGCUGCGACUGUUUACUAAAAACACAGCACUCUGCUAACUCGUAAGAGGAUGUAUAGGGUGUGACGCCUGCCCGGUGCCGGAAGGUUAAUUGAUCGAGUUAGCCCUUUUUGGGCGAAGCCCGUGAUCGAAGCCCCGGUGAACGGCGGCCGUAACUAUAACGGUCCUAAGGUAGCGAAAUUCCUUGUCGGGUAAGUUCC